rnacentral:rRNA from 1 species
AGAGUUUGAUCAUGGCUCAGGAUGAACGCUGGCGGCGUGCUUAACACAUGCAAGUCGAACGAACCUUCGGGUUAGUGGCGGACGGGUGAGUAACGCGUGAGAAUCUGCCCUCAGGAGGGGGAUAACGGUUGGAAACGACCGCUAAUACCCCAUAUGCCGAUAGGUGAAAUGAAUUUCGCCUGAGGAUGAGCUCGCGUCUGAUUAGCUUGUUGGUGAGGUAAUGGCUCACCAAGGCUUCGAUCAGUAGCUGGUCUGAGAGGAUGAUCAGCCACACUGGGACUGAGACACGGCCCAGACUCCUACGGGAGGCAGCAGUGGGGAAUUUUCCGCAAUGGGCGAAAGCCUGACGGAGCAACGCCGCGUGAGGGACGAAGGCCUCUGGGCUGUAAACCUCUUUUCUCAAGGAAGAAGAUAUGACGGUACUUGAGGAAUAAGCCACGGCUAAUUCCGUGCCAGCCGCCGCGGUAAUAC